rnacentral:rRNA from 1 species
AGAGUUUGAUCCUGGCUCAGGACGAACGCUGGCGGCGUGCUUAACACAUGCAAGUCGAACGGAGCACCCUUGACUGAGGUUUCGGCCAAAUGAUAGGAAUGCUUAGUGGCGGACUGGUGAGUAACGCGUGAGGAACCUGCCUUCCAGAGGGGGACAACAGUUGGAAACGACUGCUAAUACCGCAUGACGCAUGACCGGGGCAUCCCGGGCAUGUCAAAGAUUUUAUCGCUGGAAGAUGGCCUCGCGUCUGAUUAGCUAGAUGGUGGGGUAACGGCCCACCAUGGCGACGAUCAGUAGCCGGACUGAGAGGUUGACCGGCCACAUUGGGACUGAGAUACGGCCCAGACUCCUACGGGAGGCAGCAGUGGGGAAUAUUGGGCAAUGGGCGCAACCCUGACCCAGCAACGCCGCGUGAAGGAAGAAGGCUUUCGGGUUGUAAACUUCUUUUAAGAGGGAAGAGCAGAAGACGGUACCUCUAGAAUAAGCCACGGCUAACUACGUGCCAGCAGCCGCGGUAAUACGUAGGUGGCAAGCGUUGUCCGGAUUUACUGGGUGUAAAGGGCGUGCAGCCGGGUCUGCAAGUCAGAUGUGAAAUCCAUGGGCUCAACCCAUGAACUGCAUUUGAAACUGUAGAUCUUGAGUGUCGGAGGGGCAAUCGGAAUUCCUAGUGUAGCGGUGAAAUGCGUAGAUAUUAGGAGGAACACCAGUGGCGAAGGCGGAUUGCUGGACGAUAACUGACGGUGAGGCGCGAAAGUGUGGGGAGCAAACAGGAUUAGAUACCCUGGUAGUCCACACUGUAAACGAUGAAUACUAGGUGUGCGGGGACUGACCCCCUGCGUGCCGCAGUAAACACAAUAAGUAUUCCACCUGGGGAGUACGAUCGCAAGGUUGAAACUCAAAGGAAUUGACGGGGGCCCGCACAAGCGGUGGAUUAUGUGGUUUAAUUCGAAGCAACGCGAAGAACCUUACCAGGGUUUGACAUCCUGCUAACGAAGUAGAGAUACAUUAGGUGCCCUUCGGGGAAAGCAGAGACAGGUGGUGCAUGGUUGUCGUCAGCUCGUGUCGUGAGAUGUUGGGUUAAG